CCUACGGGAGGCAGCAGUGGGGAAUAUUGCACAAUGGGCGAAAGCCUGAUGCAGCAACGCCGCGUGAACGAUGAAGGCCUUCGGGUCGUAAAGCUCUGUCCUCAAGGAAGAUAAUGACGGUACUUGAGGAGGACGCCCCGGCUCACUAGGUGCCAGAAGCCGCGGUACUACGUGGGGGUCUAGCGUUCUCCGGAAUUACUGGGCGUAAAGGGGGCGUAGGCGGUUUAUUAAGUCGGGGGUGAACGUCUAGGGUUCAACCGUAGUACGACUUUGAAACCGUGGAACUUGAGUGCAGGAGAGGUGGGUGGAAUGCCUGGUGUAGCGGUGAAAUGCGUAGAGAUUAGGAGGAACACCAGUUGCGAAGGCGGCGCUCUGGACUGUAACUGACGCUGAGGCACGAAAGCGUGGGGAGCAAACAGGAUUAGAUACCCCGGUAGUC
rnacentral:rRNA from 1 species